AGAGUUUGAUCCUGGCUCAGGACGAACGCUGGCGGCGUGCUUAACACAUGCAAGUCGAGCGGUAAGGCCUUUCGGGGUACACGAGCGGCGAACGGGUGAGUAACACGUGGGUGAUCUGCCCUGCACUUCGGGAUAAGCCUGGGAAACUGGGUCUAAUACCGGAUAUGACUUCAGGUUGCAUGACUUGGGGUGGAAAGAUUUAUCGGUGCAGGAUGGGCCCGCGGCCUAUCAGCUUGUUGGUGGGGUAAUGGCCUACCAAGGCGACGACGGGUAGCCGACCUGAGAGGGUGACCGGCCACACUGGGACUGAGACACGGCCCAGACUCCUACGGGAGGCAGCAGUGGGGAAUAUUGCACAAUGGGCGAAAGCCUGAUGCAGCGACGCCGCGUGAGGGAUGACGGCCUUCGGGUUGUAAACCUCUUUCAGCAGGGACGAAGCGCAAGUGACGUACCUGCAGAAAA
rnacentral:rRNA from 1 species